ACAGCUGUGGCUCAGUGGUAGAGCACAUGUUUCUGGCGCAAAAGGUCUUGGGUUCAAUUCCCAGCAUCUCAA